GGUUUUAUGAAUAGUAAUAUAAAAUCAAGCCUGCUCAGUGUUAGAUAAAUAGCCGCAGUAUUUUGACUGUGCGAAGGUAGCGUGAUAAUUUGGCUAUUAAUUGUAGUCUUGAAUGAAUGGUUAAACAUAAGAUCUUCUAUAUUAUUUGUAUAUGUGAAUUUUAAUAAUCAGUAAAAAUGCUGAUAUGAAGCAUAAAGACGAGAAGACCCUAUUGAGUUUUAUAUUUAUUUUAUAGAGUAUAUUUGGUUGGGGCGACUGAUGUAAAACAUUAUAAAUAAAUGAUCCAUUAGUAAUGAUUAGUAGAAUAAAUUACCAUAGGGAUAACAGCAUAAUUUUGUUAGAGAGUUCUUAUCGAUAAUAAAGUUUGUGACCUCGAUGUUGAAUUAAGAUACCUAGUUGGCGCAGGAGCUCACAAAGGUAGACUGUUCGUCUAUUAAAUUCUUACA
rnacentral:rRNA from 1 species